AAACACUCGAAAACAAUGUAUGAAAACACUCGCGCUUCGCGCUCGUGUUCUCAUACAUUGUUUUCUCGUGUUUGGAUAUCCCGGUGAAACACUCGCUCUCGUUGUUCAUAUAUUACAUCAAACACAAGAUAGGCAAUUACUGAGAUGCGUAGGAUAUAUAUAUUAUAUCUGAUAAAACACCACUACAAGUGCUUUAAAUGGCUUAAAAAACGACUCAUCUUAUACGAGUUCAUUGACGA
rnacentral:lncRNA from 1 species